rnacentral:rRNA from 1 species
GGUGAACGCUGGCGGUAGGCCUAAUACAUGCAAGUCGAACGGCAGGACGAGAAGAUCGUGCUCUUGCGGGUGGCGGGGGGCGGACGGGUAAGGAAUACAUCGGAAUCUACUUUUUCGGGGGGGAUAACGGAGGAAAACUGACGCUACUAGCUCAUACGACCUACGGGUGAAAGCAAGAGAGCUUGGGAGCUUUCGCGAUUGAAUUAGCCGAUGUCGGAUUAGCUAGUUGGGUGGGUAAGGGCACACCAAGGCGACGAUCCGUAGCUGGGCUGAGAGGAUGAUCAGCCACACUGGAACUGAGACACGGUCCAGACUCCUACGGGAGGCAGCAGUGGGGAAUCUUGCGCAAUGGGCGCAAGCCUGACCCAGCCACACCGCGUGGGUGAAGAAGGCCUUCGGGUUGUAAAGCCCUUUUGUUGGGAAAGAAAAGAAGUAGGUUAAUCCCCGGAUGUUUUGACGGUACCCAAAGAAUAAGCAACGGCUAACUUCGUG